GACGUAGGGGACGAGCGUUGUCCGGAUUCAUUGGGCGUAAAGCGCGCGUAGGCGGCUACGCAAGUCGGUUGUGAAAAUCCGGGGCUCAACCCCGGACCUGCAUCCGAUACUGCGUGACUAGAGGUAGGUAGGGGAGAUCGGAAUUCCUGGUGUAGCGGUGAAAUGCGCAGAUAUCAGGAGGAACACCGGUGGCGAAGGCGGAUCUCUGGGCCUUACCUGACGCUCAGGCGCGAAAGCUAGGGGAGCGAACAGG
rnacentral:rRNA from 1 species